GAUGAAGAACGUAGCGAAAUGCGAUAAGUAGUGUGAAUUGCAGAAUUCAGUGAAUCAUCGAAUCUUUGAACGCACAUUGCGCCCUUUGGUAUUCCAAAGGGCAUGCCUGUUUGAGCGUCAUUUGUACCCUCAAGCUUUGCUUGGUGUUGGGCGUCUUGUCUCUAGCUUUGCUGGAGACUCGCCUUAAAGUAAUUGGCAGCCGGCCUACUGGUUUCGGAGCGCAGCACAAGUCGCACUCUCUAUCAGCAAAGGUCUAGCAUCCAUUAAGCCUUUUUUUCAACUUUUGACCUCGGAUCAGGUAGGGAUACCCGCUGAACUUAAGCAUAUCAAUAAGCGGAGGA
rnacentral:misc_RNA from 1 species